GCUUUCGUGGUGUAGUGGUCAGCACGCUCGGCUAGUAUUCGAGAGGUCCGUGGUUCGAGUCCCGGCGAGGGCA
rnacentral:tRNA from 1 species